GCUCAGUUGGUUAAGUGUCUGACUCUUGAUUUUAGCUCAGGUCAUGAUCUCAGGGUUGUGGGAUCGAACCCCACAUCGGGCU
rnacentral:tRNA from 1 species